rnacentral:rRNA from 1 species
UACGAAGGGGGCUAGCGUUGCUCGGAAUCACUGGGCGUAAAGGGUGCGUAGGCGGGUCUUUUAAGUCAGGGGUGAAAUCCUGGAGCUCAACUCCAGAACUGCCUUUGAUACUGAGGAUCUUGAGUUCGGGAGAGGUGAGUGGAACUGCGAGUGUAGAGGUGAAAUUCGUAGAUAUUCGCAAGAACACCAGUGGCGAAGGCGGCUCACUGGCCCGAUACUGACGCUGAGGCACGAAAGC